CUGCGUGUGAUGAAAUUGCUAAACAUACCGCACUCAAAAUGCGGCGGCGUAAGCCUUGUCGGUUGGAGUCCGACCACGCAGA
rnacentral:tRNA from 2 species